AUGGACGCGGCGGCGCUCGACGACGUGAUCCGGCGGCUCCUGGAGGCGCGCGGCGGCCGGACGGUGCGCCCCGCGCAGCUCUCCGACGCGGAGAUCCGCCGCCUCUGCGCCGCCGCCAAGGACGUCUUCCUCAGCCAGCCCAACCUCCUCGAGCUCGAGGCCCCCAUCAAAGUCUGCGGGGACAUCCAUGGCCAAUAUUCUGAUCUUCUUCGAUUAUUUGAGUAUGGUGGUUUCCCACCGGAGGCGAACUAUUUGUUUCUGGGUGACUAUGUUGAUCGUGGCAAACAGAGUAUUGAAACGAUAUGCCUUCUCCUUGCUUACAAGAUUAAGUACCCGGAGAACUUCUUUCUCCUUAGGGGAAACCAUGAAUGUGCCUCUAUCAACAGAAUCUAUGGAUUCUUUGAUGAAUGCAAGAGGAGGUUCAAUGUUCGUCUCUGGAAGGUUUUUACUGACUGUUUUAACUGCCUUCCUGUGGCUGCACUUAUUGAUGACAAGAUCCUGUGCAUGCAUGGGGGUUUAUCACCUGAUUUAAAGAACAUGGACCAGAUACGUAACAUUGCCCGUCCUGUGGAUAUUCCGGACCAUGGUCUCCUCUGUGAUCUGCUAUGGUCAGACCCUGAUAAAGAUGUUGAUGGCUGGGGUGAGAAUGACAGGGGCGUGUCAUACACUUUCGGAGCUGAUAAGGUUGCAGAGUUCCUUGAGAAACAUGAUCUAGAUUUGGUCUGCAGGGCUCACCAGGUGGUGGAGGAUGGAUAUGAAUUCUUUGCAAAGCGUCAGCUCGUAACCAUAUUCUCUGCACCCAACUAUUGUGGCGAGUUUGACAAUGCUGGUGCCAUGAUGAGCAUAGAUGAUUCACUAACAUGCUCAUUCCAGAUCCUUAAGCCUUCUGAUAAGAAAGGGAAAGCUGGAACCGGCAACUCAAAACCUGGAACACCGCCUAGGAAGAUAAAGAUUAAUAUUAUUUAG
rnacentral:rRNA from 1 species